GAGAUUCCCCCAGUAGCGGCGAGCGAACGGGGAGGAGCCCAGAGCCUGAAUCAGCAUGUGUGUUAGUGGAAGCGUCUGGAAAGGCGCGCGAUACAGGGUGACAGCCCCGUACACAAAAGCGCAUGUGUUGUGAGCUCGAUGAGUAGGGCGGGACACGUGGUAUCCUGUCUGAAUAUGGGGGGACCAUCCUCCAAGGCUAAGUACUCCUGACUGACCGAUAGUGAACCAGUACCGUGAGGGACAGGCGAAAAGAAC
rnacentral:rRNA from 1 species